rnacentral:rRNA from 1 species
UUUGAUCAUGGCUCAGAUUGAACGCUGGCGGCAGGCCUAACACAUGCAAGUCGAGCGGCAGCGGGAAGUAGUUUACUACUUUGCCGGCGAGCGGCGGACGGGUGAGUAAUGUCUGGGAAACUGCCUGAUGGAGGGGGAUAACUACUGGAAACGGUAGCUAAUACCGCAUGACCUCGCAAGAGCAAAGUGGGGGACCUUCGGGCCUCACGCCAUCGGAUGUGCCCAGAUGGGAUUAGCUAGUAGGUGGGGUAAUGGCUCACCUAGGCGACGAUCCCUAGCUGGUCUGAGAGGAUGACCAGCCACACUGGAACUGAGACACGGUCCAGACUCCUACGGGAGGCAGCAGUGGGGAAUAUUGCACAAUGGGCGCAAGCCUGAUGCAGCCAUGCCGCGUGUGUGAAGAAGGCCUUCGGGUUGUAAAGCACUUUCAGCGAGGAGGAAGGCAGUCGUGUUAAUAGCAC